rnacentral:lncRNA from 10 species
UCAGGUCAUUUAUGUUCUUCUCUAAACUGGUUAUUUUAGUUAGCAAUUUGUCUAACCUUUUUUCAAGUUCUUAGCUUCCUUGCAUUGGGUUAGAACAUGUUCCCUUAGCUUGGAGGAGUUUGUUAUUACCCCCUUCUGAAGAAUACUUCUGUCAAUUUGUCAAAUCCUCUGGAAGCUUCAUUUCAGAGGGGCACCUGCCAGAUGCCAGCCCGAGCUCUCCUGUAUGACGUGUCUGUUGACCCCUGCUGGGAGGUGUCUCCGGGUCGGGAGGCACGGGGGUCGGGGACCCAUUUGAGGAGGCAGUCUGUCCCUUAGCAGAGCUCCAGUUCUGUGCUGGGAGAUCCACUGCUCUCUUUAGAGCCAGCAGGCAGGAAUGUUUAAGUCUGCUGAAGCUGCACCCACAGUCACCCCUUCCCCCACGUGCUCUGUCCCAGGGAGAUGGGAGUUUUAUCUAUAAGCCCCUUAAUGGGGCUGCUGCCUUUCUUUCAGAGAUACCCUGCCCAGGGAGGAGGAAUCUAGAAAGGCAUUCUGGCUACAGCAGCUUUGUGGUGCU